rnacentral:misc_RNA from 1 species
GAACGCACCUUGCGCCCUUUGGCUAUUCUGAAGGGCAUGCCUGUUUGAGUAUCAUGAACACCUCAACUCUCAUGGCCUGCCAUGAUGAGCUUGGACUUUGGAGGUCUUGCCGGUGUACCGUCGGCUCCUCUCAAACGAAUCAGCUUGCCAGCGUUUGGCGGCGUCACAGGUGUGAUAACUAUCUACGCUUGUGGACUUCCGCCAGGCAACCUCCAGCGAUGGGGGUUCGCUGGAGCUCACAAACGUCUCUCCUCAGCGAGGACAGCACUUUGACUGUUUGAUCUCAAAUCAGGUAGGACUACCCGCUGAACUUA